UGGUUGAUUUUAUUUUUUCCUUAAAGUUGAUUUUUUUUCUAUUUUUUCCGCAUUUUUAUCAUUUAUCUUGAGAUAUACGGGGCUUGUUUCGUCAAAAAUUAGGGUUUUUUCCUUCUCAUUAUAAAGGCGGUGUCUUGGAAUCUAAAAUCUGUGUAAUCGAUGUCUUAGGCAUGUAUAAUCGGUUUGGUUUCUCUGGUGUUAAUUCAUUCAAAAUGGUAUAUAUAUUUUUUUCUUAAAAGAGCGGUACAUAUCUAAUUUUGACGAAUGAAAAACGGGAUUUCUUUUUUUAAAAAAAAUUCUCCUUUAAAGAGCUGUAAUUUUGGUGAUUGACAUUAUUGAAUGCGAUUUAUUAUUGACAAAUUGACUCCACAAAGGUAGUAUUAGCAUUGAUUUCCCAAAUGAUUUACUUAAGUGUGUUGGAGGGGUAGAGUGUCAUGCAAAUUGUAGAUUGCUUUUGUUUGGUAUGUAUGGUUCCAACCUCCAUCUUUGUUAUAUCACAUGUAUAUUGGAGAAGUUUAGGAAAGUACAGAGAAACUUGGAGCUUAAAUAAUCUUGUUAAUUGGGAGGCUGAGUAGAUAUACAAAAAAAAGGGUAAAAAGGAUGGAGGUUUCUGAGCAAUAGAGUUGAUGGAAUAUGAUUCGAUGGGAAAGCAACAGCAACAUAUUAUCGUGGUGGUGUUGGAGCUUGAUGAUCCGACAAGUAAAUUGCUCGUGCAUUGAUUAUGUCGUUCAUGUUCAAAUGAUCAACUUUUUCUUUGACAUCCGGAGAAAGAGGGUUUCAUCGAGGUGACAUUCAUCUAAAGUUCAAUGUCAAGAAAUUAAAACCAUCCAUCUUACAAAAGUGAUUGUAACAUGCUCUGAUCAUUUGUAGAGGAAAAUAAUUGUCAUGAGAAACCCCCUAGAACAGACUUAGAAAUUGCUUCUAGAAUGGAUUAGGUUUUUUAUUCAAUUUUUGUAAGUCUUUAAAUUAUUUUUGGGCUUAAAUAAAGAGAUGAAGGUUCAAAAUUGAAUCAGAUGGAUGGCUCACAUGAAAUUGGAAACUUAUAGGCUUCAAAAUAAAUCUAGUCAAAGAUUUAUUAUAAAUAAUCAGGAGUUUUUAGCAUAAUAAAAGUGAGCAAAUUUCAUAUUUCAGUGGAGGAUUCCAAAGUCUCAGCCUGUAUCUUCUUCCUAUCACCUUGUAUUGUAUCCUUUAAAGUUGUUUAUUUUUUACAUCAAGUUUGUGCCAUUUGGCAAUUAUUUCAGAUCUCAACGGAAACAUAAAAUCAACCUACAAUUUUCUUACUGGAGCUAUAGUCUAAUUUCCUUCAGCUCAUUAUAUCCAUCAUUCUUUCUAAACUUCCCUGUUCCAUAUAAAUCUUCAAAUUUUGCCAAUUUGAAUACUGUACUAUAGUUUCCCCACCAUUUUUCAUACUACGAUUCAAAACCUUGCUAGAAGAUUAAAUCUCAACUUCUGAUGCAUUAAAUCAUCAAAAGGGUUAGAUGUAAGUUGAGUUAUGAAAAUUAAGUUUUUCUAAGGAGACAAAUACAAAGAUAGGAGAGAGAAAAGAUAACUAUAGGGAAGAGAAAAGGAAAAAAAUAAAUCUUUCAUUAUAUCUCUCUCUCUCUUCUUUCUCUAAUUAUCUCUCUAUUUCUUUACCACUAGUUCCUGAAAAGUUAAUCCACUGAUUUAUUAUGAAUUUUAAACCCGUUGGUUUGUGUCAAGGUUCCCUGGUUUUCAAUGCCAAUUCACAUGCAUCAUCAAGUAAAUUUAUCCUGAUUAUCUUUAGUUCAUGUUGAAUUUGCCAUACCUGUAACAGAAUAGAUGCCUAUAGUUGCUUAUUAAUCAUAUGCAUUAAGUACUAGUUGUUUAUUUGCUUCUCUACCUAUACUGAUAAGUGAUGAUAGCUUUUGUUCAUGGAGAUGCUGUACUAUCAUUCCUUUAUUGUCAAGAGGAAGAAAUUUUCACUGAAGCGUGGUUAUGGUGCACACUCUUUGUUGAGCUUCUCCCUCUUGAAGUUGUUUCCACACUGGAUUUCUUUUCUUCAUGUUCAUCAUUUUCCUUAACUUUAUUUUACAUCCUUUAGUCAACACACACCAACAUAAGAUAUUGUCAUGCUCGUUUUUCACAGUCUGUAGUCUUGAAGAUGAAAGCUAACCAUGGAAGCUAGUGAAAGCAAAUCUUGAGACUGCUGCUACUAAGCAAACAUUAUUAAUACCCUAAAUCCGCUUCCCUUUCUUAUUUUCUUCAUAUGAGAGUAGUUGUGAGACAAUAUUGAAGUGUGAAUUGAUUAUUUUUUAAUCAAAUGUCUUUUAGCUCCUGGCGGGACAUACAAGGAGCUGCCAGGCUUCUGCUUUUAGGUGGAAUAAUUUUGCAUCGGUUGUCAUAUUGUCCCAUGAACCUGGUAUCAUACUGUCCCAUGACCCUGGUAUCUUCUUGUAUGGUAAACACUGAUUGUCUCAUUAUUUUUCAUACCACUUAAUUCGUCUCUCUCGAGUUCUCGGUUUAAUUGGCUUCCAGGGUGAGUCAGACUAUAAUUUCUAAUUCUAUCUUCUGCUGCCAAUAACUUACUUAUGGACCAUUUGCUGAGGCACAAGACAGUAAAACAAAUGGUGAUGAUGACAAUAUGUCUGUAUGAUUCAUAUAAACAUAAAAUAUCAGCAUUUCUCUUUAGCUCUGAACAUGAUAGUCUUCUAAUGUGAGCAUGGCUCAGCUUCAUAGCAUGAAGCUGCUUACAACUUAAUUUUAGAAACACUUAAAACAGAAAGUAAUUUCCAGCAAGCCGUGCAUGGUCAAGUAGUCAAGAACAAUACCUGCUCCAUACAUACCAUGUAAGCAGCCCAAGAGGCCCAUAGACCAUAGUGGCCUAGAAAUAGUGAAUAUAAUAUUUACAUUUUGGUCAUUAUGGUGGUGUUAUACAGUGUUAAUGGUUGUUUGACAGUCAUUGUUUCAUGAAUUUAAGAUUAGUUUACCAUAAUGAUAUUCUUAAUAUAUACAAGAUUGAUUAAACACAAGAUAGUUUAUAUUCAUAUAGAGUACUGAUAAUGCUGUCAAUUUGCUGUUACACAUGGGCUGAUAAAAUUCUUUUAUGUAGCUAAAACCUAAAAGAGAAUUCUUAGAAUCAUGUGACAAGGGUUUGGGCCUAUUGUCAACACUAGAACAUGUGGUUCACGUAAGUCAUAUUUGACGUAUUGACAUCUAUCCCUUUCAACCAACUCUUGCGAAUGAGGAUCUUGAUCUUAGUUUUUCUGGAAAAUAUCUCAUAGAUAUGAUUUUCCUUUAUUCACUAAGAGUAUGUUCUUUGACUUGGUCACCAUAUGAUGGGUACUGCUUAAUUGUCCUUUAAAUAUAAGAAGGCGGACAACUAUCUUUUGAUGUUUAUUGGAAAUAAAAACCUUAUGAUAUUAGCUUAGUUUGACCUAGGCAUGUUAACAUGUUUCUGGCAUGCAUUCAUUGAAAAUUUACAGACAUAAUUAUUUUCAUCAUCCCAAGGAACAAAUACACUCUAGCACCAUUGGAGGUACUCUUGUCAGUGCUUGUGAAAGCAUGAUGCACAAAAAUAAUUAUAUUGACAUCACACAUGCAUCAGUGAUUGGUGGCCGGUUGUGUAAUUGUUCCUGGUAAGAUGAAUUUUCUGAGUAGUAUGGGCCUGUACUUCAAAUUGGCAUUAUUUUUCUUAUUCUUCCAUGUCAGUGGGAGGUCCCAUGAAUUAUGGUCCGUGCAGAUUAUGGAGAUGUUGAUUGAUGAAACACUAUUCAGGUAACGUUUCCUAGAUUUGAACUAUUUCGGAAAGCUCUGAUGCAUUGUAAUCAGGUUUGGUGCUAGAUUUGAACUACUUGGAAAGCUUUGGUGGAUCAUGCCCUAAAGUCAGUUUGAGAUAUAAGAGAUUCUCUGCGAGGAUCACUUCUGCUAAUGGUGAAUAUAAAUGGGUGAGAAGGAUUGACAAUGAUGUCUCCAAUAGAAUCAAAGCAAGAUGGAUGAAGUGAGAAAUACACCAUUAAGGUGAUCAGUCUCGGCAGAUUGAAAGUGAGAGAGCUAAGUUUCCAGUGCCUACUCAUCGUUAGCUGGUUUGCUUUUGUUAAAAUUAUGCACCUUUAUUCCCUCAGCAGAUGUCACUUCUUGAAUUUUAAUAAUGAAUGACAUGGAGAAUCGACAGUGUUCUCUUAUAUACCGUUGUUCCCUGAUGUUUGAAAAUGCAAUACUCAGAUGAAGGUUGCUUUAUUCCUGUCA